rnacentral:rRNA from 1 species
ACUCAAAGGAAUUGACGGGGGCCCGCACAAGCGGUGGAGCAUAUGGCUUAAUUCGAUGCAACGCGAAGAACCUUACCAGGGCUUGACAUGCAACUGCACGCUGUAGAGAUACAGUUCUUUCGAAGGUGUUGCACAGGUGGUGCAUGGCUGUCGUCAGCUCGUGUCGUGAGAUGUUGGGUUAAGUCCCGCAACGAGCGCAACCCUCACGGUCUGUUACCAGCGGAUAAUGCCGGGGACUCGGACUGAACUGCCUCUGUAAAGAGGAGGAAGGUGGGGAUGACGUCAAGUCAUCAUGCCCCUUACGCCCUGGGCUGCACAUAUGCUACAAUGGCCGGUACAAAGAGCUGCGAGCACGCGAGUGUCAGCAAAUCUCAAAAAGCCGGUCUCAGUUCGGAUUGGAGUCUGCAACUCGACUCCAUGAAGUCGGAAUCGCUAGUAAACGCCGGUCAGCAAUACGGCGUUGAAUACGUUCCCGGGCCUUGCACACACCGCCCGU